CGCAUAGAAGCAGCUACAAACAACGCUACGGUGCAGGUCUUUCAAUGUAGUUAUUUCUUGUCACGCUUCAGCCUUGGAAACAUAUUUGUUUGGCAAUUUUCUGGGAAUAGAAAAAGCAGAAGAGCCAGCAUUACAUGCUAUGUCCCUGAGGGACUAAGAGCAGGACCUGAGCCCUAGGAACAUGUCUCAGGACUACCUGGCCUGAUGACUCCUGGCUGUCCCCAGUCCACCUGGUCAUGCUGCUGCUCCAGUUUGAACUAUUCUGCCUGCAGCUAUGGAACCCUGACCUGUUCACUGGACGUAUUACCUUGUCCCGACCCUGCUGUUAAGUCUUGGAGGCCCAAAACUUCUCGGGUGCAUAUAUAAUGAUGUCCAGCUUCUUGGACUUCUUGGACACUUGUGCAGUAUAAUUGAAAACUGUGGCUAUAAAUGCUACAAAAUCAACCUUUUUCACAAUAAGUGUAUCCAGAUCACUUGAUUGAAGAAAAACAAUUGCAACUAGUUGUGGUGCAUCCACCACCAUAUGUUCUCCAGAACUGUGGCCUCUUGCUCCUUCAACGCUCUUCACAACCUCCAAAUAGGAGAUUUGUUGUACAGCCCUGAUCCUUGACAACUCAACCUCUUUCACCCUAACAUGGCACUCAGGGAAUAUCAGGAAAUAUGAUCCCCACCACAGUGGCAACAUUUUACAUUCACAGACUCUUCACUAACAUAUUCCUUCCGCCUGCAAACACUUGACACAUGGCCAAACUUUUUACACUUCUUGCAUUGCAUCGGGUUUUGCAUGAACGCUCUUACAGCGUAUCUUUUAAAUCCCAACUUUAAAUAGGGUGUUAAAUGCUCAUCAAACAUCAAUGACACAGAUAACCUUAGCUCCUUUUUCCCCUUCUCCAUAUGAGUCAAGUGAUAGUGGGACACCAGAAAUAGAGUGUGCAAAGCUGUCAUCAAGGCAGGUGACUGGUGGCUACUUUGAAGAAUCUCAAAUCUAAAAUAUAUUUUGAUUUGUUGAACACUUUUUUGGUUACUACAUUAUUCCAUAUGUGUUAUUUCAUAGUUUUGAUGUCUUCACUAUUAUUCUACAAUGUAGAAAAUAGUAAAAAUAAAGAAAACCCCU
ensembl:lncRNA